AUUGAACGCUGGCGGCAGGCCUAACACAUGCAAGUCGAGCGAGCGGCGGACGGGUGAGUAAUGUAUGGGGACUGCCCGAUAGAGGGGGAUUACUACUGGCAACGGUGGCUAAUACCGCAUACUGUCGUUUUACCCAUAUGGGUUUAGCUAGUAGGUAAGGUAAAGGCUCACCUAGGCGACGAUCUCUAGCUGGUCUGAGAGGAUGAUCAGCCACACUGGGACUGAGACACGGACCGGACUCCUACGGAGGCAGCAGUGGGGAAUAUUGCACAAUGGGCGCAAGCCUGAUGCAGCCAUGCAGCGUGUAUGAAGAAGGUCUUAGAGUUGUAAAGUAAUUUCAGCGGGGAGGCGUUACCCGCAGAAGAAGCACCGGCUAACGCCGGGCCAGCAGCCGCGGUAAUAC
rnacentral:rRNA from 1 species